UACAGAGGGGGCAAGCGUUAUUCGGAAUUAUUGGGCGUAAAGGGCGCGUAGGCGGCUUUUCAAGUGGCGGGUGAAAGCCCUCGGCUUAACCGAGGAAAUGCCUGCCAGACUGAAUGGCUUGAGACCGGGAGAGGUGAGUGGAAUUCCCAGUGUAGCGGUGAAAUGCGUAGAUAUUGGGAGGAACACCAGUGGCGAAGGCGGCUCACUGGACCGGUACUGACGCUGAGGCGCGAAAGCGUGGGGAGCAAACAGG
rnacentral:rRNA from 1 species